GGGGCUGGUCGAAAGAUCUGGGUCCACCGUGGAGCGGGGAAUUUCCCC
rnacentral:sRNA from 12 species